GAUGUGAAGCUGGAGGGAAAGUACAUAGCUGCUGAGUAGAGGUGGCCUUGGGGCUGGGGUUAAGGAGGUGAAUGGAGUGCUUAAGUGCAGAGCUUUGUGUUGUGGAGUUCUUUUAGUUGUGAAAAUGGAGUAUCUCAGACAUAUGGGAAGGUGGUCAAGAACAGGAGCUGCCGCUACUGCCCUUUUGGCUGGAAAUAGUAGAUGCCAAUAGGAUUAAGAACAGGAUAAACAAACAAGAUGCAGGACAAUUGCAAGAGCUCUCAGAGUCCUGGUGUUUCAGGCCUGCAGAAGCUCUGCCUUGUGUACCAGGCUGCGGGGCUGCCUGAGGAGCUUUCACAAACAGCACUUUAUGUGGCUUAUUGCAAGCUGUGCAACACUCACACAACUGUGCAGUAUUUACUGGUUGGAAUUGUUGGGCCAGCUGGACCACAGUGCACACAGCCAUGUGUUUUCCCAGAAGUCAGCAAGAUGUGUGUUUGUACAUCCCAGCAAGCUCUGCUUACCCCACGUUGUCUCAGUGCCAGCUGACAGCAGGAUCCAUCCAGCCGACUGCUUUGCGGUGAUGAAUUGCUGUAUUUGCUGCUGGCUGCAUAUGGCAGAGAGUUUAAGAUCUCCAUGAAGGAAAAUGAUUAUCGUUGAGUCACGCCAAUAGCUGCGACGCUGGCUGCCUGCCCCCGCCAGCCUGCUUCACCACUUGUGUGCUAAUGUUUGGAUCCUAGUGGUGGGAAAUGAAUGUCAGCCUGUACUCUCUUCAUGCACCAUUGAGCUGUGCUUAUGGUCGCUUUUGGCAGCACCAAAUCAUCAAACAGAUAAAACCAUCAGUCUUUUUAUUUCCAAACAUUAACCUAACUGCUAAUAAAGCACAGCUCGUGUCAUCCUUAUGGACUCUGCAGAGCUGAGUCACACGAUAAACAGGAUCCGAAUGCUGGAAAA